UGUUGGAUGCAUAGCUUACAAAAAUGUUCUCCCAUUCUGUAGGUUGUUUACUCUGUUGAUAGUUUCUUUUUCAGCCAUGUUUAUGUAUCAGUUCUUUUAAUUUUUUUUAUUUUAGAAGCCAUAGCAGCAACAUCAGCUCUUCAGACAUGUAUCCAAAUAAAAAUCUUUUAGCUGGCAGUCACUUAAUCAGAAGCUGUAAUUAUCCAGAACAAAGGCAGGAACCAAAACAAAUGAAAGCAUUUUAAAUAGAUGAAAAAUAUAUAAUCUAAUCUACAAUACAACAGCAACACGAUAAUAGCUAAAGUUUUUUGAGCAUUUACUAUGAGCUGGACAGUGUUUUGAAGAUUUAUGCACAUUUACAUUUAAUCUUCACAGCAACCCUAUGAAGUCGGUACUCCUAUGUGAUACAAUUAGAAUAUUAGAACUUUUUGCUGUUGUUCUAUGUGGUCAUUGUUAAUGUUUGGAAACAUUCCAGGUACUGCUUUGUUUUACCAGUUCCUCUGUCUAUUACAGCUUUGUUCCCUCUCUUUGGCCAUUUUAAAAGAUUUAAAUAAAAUUUCUGUACUCUGUCAAACCUCCUAUUGAUCAUACAACAAAGACAGAAUUAAUUAAUUGAUCAUGCUGUUAUACUCCUAGGACAGUUGUAAAUACCAGUAGCAUUUGUUACAUAGUAUCAGUAUCAAGUGUUUUACCUGUUAGAUUGUGUGUGUGUGUGUGUGUGUGUGUGUGCGCGCGCGUGUGCGCGCGCGCUCAAAACUUUGAUCUUCCCUGAGGCUAAGGACUGCACCUUCCUUAAUUUUAUUCCUCUGAGAUUACUAUCAAGCCUGGCAUAUAGUAGAUAUAUAUUUCCAUAUACACCAAUGAACGAGUGGAAGAGAGAAAAAAGAUAGAGAUAAGGAAAAGUGAAAAGAGACAAAGAGAAAUUUGAAAAUUCAGAUGCCUCUUUUGAGAUGUACCACAAUCUUGCAGAGUUUGAACAUGUUAUUUUAGAGGGAAAACUUUUAUUUUAAUUGAACAAAAGGAGAAUUUAUAUUUUAGCAGGGAUAUUGUAUUUCUAAAGCAAUGUAAGGCAUUACAAGGAUAUUAAUGAUUUGUAAGAACGUGGAGAUGAAUCUGGAGGCAAGGGAGAACCAGGGAGAACUUUUCGCUUUGUUUUGGGUUGAAGAAAAAUUGAUCUUCCAUGUACAUUAGUGGAAAUGUAGUUAGGGAAGUACAAAUACAGGAGGAACUAAAGUAGGAGCAAACAAUUUGAAGGGAGUAUAAUCAGAGAAGAAAAACGAGAGCUAUACUGUUUUUCGUUGAACAAUCCAAGAACAAGAUGAUAGGAAAUAAGAUAGGGAAACGUGCUUACAGAAAAGAGAAGUCUAAAGCAGGUCAAUCUGCUGCUAAGGGAUUUCAGCCCAGCAAAUGCACACAUUAAGAAUAAUGCCAGAAUAUAGCAAAGUGGCUUUAUCUUUCGGUAGCGGUGGACUGUUCGCACACACGCAACAGCUAACAAGCUGUGCUCUGAAGUUAUUCUAGACCUUAUCUUUGGAAAUAAUGCAGGCAUGAUAAAUAGGUUGGAGUAGAAAAGCACUAAAGAUGCAAUCAUAAUGUCAUCAGGUUUGAAUUGCUGAUGAAGAUCUGUGGGAAGAGAACUAACACAAAAAUAUGGGGCUUGAGAAAAGCAGACCUUGAAGGAAUGCAAAAUGAGUUUUGAACUUGGCUGGAAUUUUGCAACGUGUAGAAAAUGAAACAUGAAAAAGGUAGCAUCCUGGGAGGGAACAUUCAAAAUUCAACCCAAUAAGAUCAAAGUAAUACAGAAACAAUGAGAGGAAGCAGAGAAAUAAGAGAAUAUAGGGGAAGCCAUUAAAAAAUAAAAUAAAGGGGAAAAGUAGUGGGAAACUUGCUAUGACUGAACGAAACCAAAACACUAAAACAAAUGCAGUUAUUAAUAGCAAAUUAGUAUCUAAGAUUUUUUUCUAAAGAUUGUUGCGAGUCACACAGGUCCCUCAUCUUAGGCUGCGAGCCUUUGUAUAGUCAAGGAGUAUUGAUCCCGAUGGCACAUCUAGACUCCUGUGGUGUUGUGGCCUUUUUUUUUUUUUUUUUAAAUAAGAUCUUGCCUUUCAUAGGAAAAAGCAUUUAAUUUAUGAAAAGUCAUGGUACAACUGAAAGUUCAUCACUGGGGAAAGCAUAAGACCAUAGUUUGUAUUGGGUUAACAGUUAAAAGAUUUAAAGUGUAAAUGUAUUUACAGCUUCUUAAACUAGCCCUGGAAAUUAGACUACUUAUAGGGUGAAAACUGAAUAACUUGCUAUCUCAUCCAUGGAGUAGAUUUAAAUUCAAGUCUCCAGGUAAAAGUUUUAUAAAGCUUACCCCCACCUGGCCCCUCGCCGUCCUUUGUUGAGUGGGAAACACAGAGCCCUACAGAGGAAAGAAGUUCUAUUUUCUGGCUUCCCAGCAAUGCAGGAACUACUGAUGGUAUAUUUUGGCAUAUGCAUAUCCUUUUAAAGAAAAGGUUGAGUAUAUGACAUACAUUAAAACAUAAGCUGUAUUCUUUGUUUCUUCAUAGCUGGGCUUCUGCAAAGAAAGAAAAAGUUUGUAAGCUUAGUUUUUGAUGUGGCAUGUAUGCUGGUCUGUGUAAAAUUUUACUGUAUGAAAUUGUGAAAAAUGUAGCCCAACUUAUUCCAAAAAUCACAGAACUGCUUCCUGCAGACCUAACAUGCCUAGAAAAAUUCAUAGGUGCGAAGGCUGGUACAUAGUAAGUACUUAGGACACGCUUACUGAUAGAUUCAGGUAUCACACAUAUAUGUACAGGGGCAUCAAUAGAUAUAUUUGUAAUCAACAUGUAUAAAAACCAAUUUUUAAAUAAAGCUAUAUUUUCCCAUUAAACAUUAAGGGAUUUUAUUUUCUAAGUGAAAUUCUGGCAUAUGACAAAGAGGCUAGACCUGUGUUCAUAUGUCUGAGAUUCUGUGAUUCCUUUAUCUGUAAUUCCUAACAUUUUAACUUUUGGCUAUUUAUUCCUUAAUUUCUGUGCCACAUUGUUACUGAUCUAUUAGAAAAUGCUUAAAAUGGUGGGAAAUCGGAAUCCUUGAAUGGAUCCGUCAGUGUAUUGUUCCAGGUAGUUGCUUGAUUAUACAUAUUUAUUGAAUGAAUAAAUGAAAAAAGAGUAAUAAAUCUUGUGAAGUUGGUAGUUUUAUAAAUUCUUUCUGUAGUAAUACCAAUAGGGAAGGAGGGAGGAGAGGUAUCUUACUAUCAUUUAGUAGAUGAAAACCUGAAGCUCAGAAGUUGAGUAGACCAAGGCCACACAUUGAGUAAGUGGCAGAAUUUUCUGAAGGACUUUUGGCUAUAAACUCCAUGCUUUUAUUAAUGCACAAUCCUGCUCUCUAUCCUGCAGUUGAUCUUCAGAUAAUAUGUAUAAGUUGUGUUUAACUUGUGGAGGCACAGAUGUGUUUCCAGAGGCCCUGAAUGUGAUUGUAUGUUGCACUUUACUUUUCUAUUGAGGGCAAGAAAAGGAAGACAUUAGAGAGGCAAGGUGUUUGCAGAAAUUUAUAGGGGGUGAAAUCAAUAUAAAAGAGAAAAAUGACAGCAAGCCCAGGGCCACCUGCCUAUGAUAGGCCCACAGUAACUUCUUGCUGAAAAGAAAAGGUAGGGUGGGUGCCCAGAGCUAAAGGAUCUUUUCUCAGGCAGCUUCCACUGCUUUUUUUGUGUUUACCUACUCUGUUGGUGUUUCUGUAGUGAUGCACUUAGAAAAUUACCCAGGGUUAUGAUACAACUGCCACUUGUUUUCUAGAUUCUCUUACCUAGCGUGCUGAGACACCAGCUUAGGAAGUGACAAGAAAAGCAUAUCUUUCUCUUUUCCACCUGAUGGAGGAGUAGGAGAGAUGUCAAAGCUGAAGGCAGUCUGAGAAUGAAGGAACAGAGUAGGGAAGAUGGAGGUUUUUGGGAGAACGGAAGUGGUAUCAGAAUAUUUAGAGGGAAGUUACAGCACAGAAUGAGAUGAAUUGAACCCUUCUUAUGAAGAGUGGUUGGAAAGAAGUGGACAUCUAAUUAGGAAGAGGAAUCUUUGUGGCUGUAAUAUUAUGUUCAAACACUUGGAAGAUUCUCCUGAUAAAGGAAGAUUUUUCUCUGUUAGCUCAAAGUAGUAGGACUAAGACCAGCUUUUAGACAUUGUGGGAAGAUGGCUUUCUAGCUAGUUAUUAUAGGAAGAAUUUUGUCAGUGCCUGAAUCACCCAGAAAUUGGGUGUGCCACAUCAGGAGAUAGAUGUUCUAAGCACAGGCUGAAUGAGCCUGAUGGAGCUACACUAAGGCAUGUGAUACUCAGCAAACAUUAGCAAGGCCUUCUUUUUCAGGAUUAAUGUGAUUCUAUGCAGUAGAAGAGAAAAUCAUUUUAUAUGCAGACACACACUAGGACAUGCCUACUGAUAGAUUCAGGUAUCACACAUGCGUGUGUGUGUGUGUGUGUGUGUGUGUGUGUGUGUGUAACUUAAGAGUAGAUUACAAUCUAGUAUACACAGAGCCCCAAAAUGCAGAAAACGUGGGAAAAGAGGAGUGUGUUAGUUUCCUAGGCCUGUUGUAACAGUACCACAAACUAGAUGGCUUUAAGCAACAGAAAUGUAUUCUUAUGGUUCUGAAGGCCAGAAGCCUGCAGUCAGGGUGUCAGCAGGCCUGUGUUCCCUUUGAAACCUGUAGGCAAGUUGUUCUUGCCUAUUCUGGCUUCUGGUGUUUGCCAUCAGUGCUUGACAUACCUUGGCUUUACAUGUAUCUAUCACUCCAGUCUCUGCCUCUGUCACUAGAUGGCCAUCUUCCCUCUGUGUGUCUCUUUAUCUCUUCUCUUCUUAUAAGGAUACCAGUAAUGUAAUGGCCCACCUUAGUCAGUAUGACCUUAUCUUAACUAAUGACAACUUCGAUGGCCCUCUUUCCAAAUAAGUUCUCUUUCUGAAGUAUGGGGGGUGUGAGAUUUUGACAUUGCUUUUUUGGGGAUAUAAUUCAAAGCAAGGAGAAAUAGUAUUCUUGCUCUGUGAUCUUAUUAUUUUCUGUUAGGAAGACCUGAAGAAGUUAGAGAAAAAUAUUUUGACUCAAACCCAGCAAACUCGAAUUCAGGUACAAAAGAUUGAUUUUUCCCUCUCACCAAUGUUGGAUGGUUUUGUGGAUAGGGGAAAUCUAGUAGAUAUUAAAUAUUUUUAUCUGCAAAAAGCAUUUGGUAAGGUUCUCAAUGGGAGAUUAAUGGCUAACAUAAAGAAUGAGGCAUUAGGAGAUAAAUUUGCUUAUGAGCAAGAGACAGAUACUAACAGUAGAAGGAAAUACUUUUUAGAUUGGAAAGGAGUGACAUAUAGCACAAGCCAGGAAUCAGUUUUGGGACCUAUGGGUUUUUCACUUUAUUUUUAUUGGACUUUGUAAUAAAAAUACAGAUCUUCAAACAGUCCAAGACAGAGUGAGUAAUACUACAAGCAUCAGUAAUCAAAAGUUAUUCUCUAUCAUAAACUAAAUGACUGAUAAUAAAUACUGACACAAGACUACACAAUGUACCAUAAUAUUAUAAAAUGGAGCAGGCAAUUCUCCUGUGUUCUCUUUUCUUCUGCAUGGGUGAAUAUUUCUUUAUUUGCUUUUUAAAAAAAUUUUUUGCAGGUUUCUAGGAUUAUAUUGUAGGUCAAAUGAAUAGAAAAAAAUGAUUUUUUUUUUUAAAUUUGGAAAGAUGUGAUAAUAGGAAAAAAUCGGUUGAAGCAAGACAAAGGUUAUAUUGCCAUCACUAGGCUAAAGAAAUUAGGGGCCCUGUGUGUUAAAUUGCUCAAUGAGCGGUUCGGUGAAAAUACUUGAGUGAGGGGGCAUUCUUGAAAUCAUCAGCUUACUCUGCAGUCAUGACUUUAAUGGAAGCAUAUGCAGAAAGUCAUUGUUAGAAUAAGGAAACUACAUAUCUGAAGAGAGGGAAGUAUAGCAUGGAACUUUUUUCUCUUCUUUUUAAAAAUGUUAACGUGGCUGUAAAAACGUCCAUAAAAUCUAUUGAUUGUAUAUGUAACGUUUAGUCUGCCCAGCAGCUAAUAAAUUAUGUGGAGAACAUACUUUUCAGAUUGAACUUUUUCUGUCACUGCUUUUGUCAAAAUCACUAAAAGGUGUUUACAAAUUCAUUGCCAUUUCCCCAUUAUUUGUACAUUGUCAGAUAUAAGCCAAGAGAAACAGAACAAAUAAACGUUCAAAAGUUGACUCAGAGAAAUUGUAAAUGUUUAGAAAAUUAUAAAGAUUAUAAAGUACAAAGAAGCUUCAUUAACCUCAAACCUCUCAUUUUGCAGGUGAGAAAACCAAGAUCCAGAAAGGUCAAAUUCAUAAGAAAUUUGCCCAAAGACAAAUAACUUAAGUCAAAAUAGAGUCUAGAACAGGGUUCUCAACCUGGGCUGCACAUAAGAGUUUCCUGAAGAGCUUCUUUAAUGAACUAUUGCAAUGAUCUUCCUACCAGAGAUUCUGAUUUCAGGGUUCAUGAACGGAGCCAAGGAAAUUCAUACUUUUAAAAGCAUGCAUUUUAAAACUUCUCUAGGUGGAGAAUCACUGGCUGUUUUAUACAGAGAUGUGAAAAAAAACAUGUCAUGGUGAGAAAGCUGGUCUGGUUGGGGUGGAGACUGAAUGGAAAGUGGCAGGAGAGGUGGAAAUGAAGCUAGUAAAUAGCUUGGAGUUUAAGUUCAUGCUAAGAAAUUGAAGUUUCCUGUUUGGGGGUACAGGAAGUUUUUAGCUUGAGGAAUGAAUAAUCUGAGUAACUCAUUCAUCCAUUUAUUCAUUCAGUCGUUAGGAUUUAUUGGAAGUUUGCUGCAUGUCAGACACAGGAUGACAAAGAUUAUUAUGACACCCUCAAUCCAGAUACUUUGUAGAAGGGGAGCAAUGAUCAGAUUUUCAUUUUAGGGACAUCACCUUUGGGCAAUGUGUUUAGGCUGGAGACAGGAAAGCCAUUAGGAAGCCAUGAUAACACUCCAGCUGACUCAGGAGCUGCUGAACUGAGGCAGUGUGGUGGGGAUGAAGGAGGUUUGUUGUCUGUGGGAUGUAUUGGGGGGCAGAUUUGAUAGUGCUUGGUGAGUGAUUGCAUGCUGAGUAGGGAAGGGGAGGGCAGACUCAACUCCUAAUGGUGCCAUUUGUCACAAUAGGGAAUUUCAGAGGAGGAAGUCUUUUUCCUAGCCCAGGAAUCAGUGCUUCUGUUUCCAUUUAUUAGACCUGCACCCAUUCAUCCUAUUAUUGGUUUAUUGCACAACAUAGCAUAGUCUCACCACUUUUCCUCUCCUUUUCUGUUCUUACAACAAGGAAAAAAAUACUAAUGUUUUAAAGGAAAUCUGAUUAAGGCUAUGAAGGUAAAAUGAUGGGUAUUUUUUGGUUUAGAAAUCAUUAGCAAAAUAAAACAUGUAAAUCAAAAUGAGGAACUAAUACAUUUGUUUUAGUGAUUCAGGAGGAAAAGGAAAUUCAUGAUUUUACUUGAAUUAUCAGGAUGAUGCUUUCCUUUACCAGUGACCCAAGAAUGAGUGUUAUAGUAUGCUUUUUGUAAAAUAUUUAUCACCAACUGGGGCAUUGAAAGUAAGUUUCCUAUGUUACACAGCUGCUAAAUUGGGCAGGGACAACAGAGAAGGCACUGAAUAGUCAAUGAAAUUGGAAAGAAUUUAGAUCAUCCGUGUCACACAAAGCCAGCAAAGGCUGUUUGUAGAAUGUUAGCUGCUAUCACACUGGCUUGAGAUUAACAUUCUAGUGAAUAAUUAAAAUAUUCCUGUUUAUUUUUUAAUAAAAAGAAAAAGCAUAUAUGUUACCUCAGAGUCUGUAAUGAUACCUGUAGUUGCAUCCAUCAGAUGUUGAGGUUUUUUUUUUUUUUUUUUUUAACUAGGAUUGUAGAGUAGAUAACUUAGACAAUUAAAAAGCAGAUUUUUUUCUGCCUUUUUCUGCAUCCUUAUUUUACAAUAUUCAGUAUUACAAUGUCGUUCAAAAAUAUAAAA